rnacentral:piRNA from 1 species
UCUAAUGUGCUUUAUCCUGACC